rnacentral:lncRNA from 1 species
GUUUUAUUUAGAACUGUUGCAUCUAUGCUUAUGAGAAAGGUUGGCCUGCAAUUUUCUAUUACAUGUUGGACAGGACCAAAUAUCAAUGACCUUUUGGUGUGGACCAAACGUCUUGCAAGGGAAAUCAGUUGAGAUUACUGCAGCUCCCUGGGCGAAAAGUGACAGCAGCCUGGACCAGAGUGAUACCUUGAAUGUGUGGAGAAGACACGAUUGACAGCACUUGUUGAAAGAUUGGAAGUCGCCACAAGGAAGAGAGAGGAAGGAGAGCCGACCUCAGGAUCCUGAGGAAAAGGUCAGGAGACCUGCCCUGCAAAGAGAGAUCAUGAAUUUAAUUUUCAGAAAGGGAACUAAAACACACUUGAUCCAUGCAACCUCUCGCGGCUUAUAGAUCAAAAUGGGAAGAAUGCAAAGAUUAGCACGGCCCCUUCACGUGGCUAGUUCACACAUUUGUGAUGUGUAAUCAAUAAAAAAAGCUGAUCGCACUCCAAAAAGAAAAGUAUAAAGAAAAAACAAACUAAAAUAAAUAUUGUCACUAAGAAAGAUUAAAGGGG